rnacentral:rRNA from 1 species
GAUGAACGCUGGCGGCGUGCUUAACACAUGCAAGUCGAACGGUCGUAGCAAUACGAUAGUGGCGCACGGGUGAGGAACACGUAGCUAACCUGCCCCAAGUACGGGAUAACUUCCCGAAAGGGAUGCUAAUACCGUAUAAGCUCACGCCGAGUAGGUAGGUGUGAGAAAAGGUUUACUGCUUGGGGAGGGGGGCUGCGGCCCAUCAGGUAGUUGGUGAGGUAACGGCUCACCAAGCCGACGACGGGUAGGGGGUCUGAGAGGAUGGCCCCCCACACUGGGACUGAGACACGGCCCAGACUCCUACGGGAGGCAGCAGUGAGGGAUAUUGCGCAAUGGGGGAAACCCUGACGCAGCGACGCCGCGUGGGUGAUGAAGGCCU